GAAAGACGCCAGUUUUGUGUUAUUGUUGGUGAUAGGAGGAUUGUUGGAGCUUUUUGUUGCUAAAUAAUCAGGAAAUUAUUUUUAAAUAUCGAUAUAUUGAAUCAAUACUUGUUCAUUAGUAAUUAAAGAUGUCAGAUAGUUCUGAUGAAGGUGCUGACAACGGGACAUGGGUGUUUUAUAAAGACAGAGAAGAAUGGAAAGAUGUGACCCCGGUACCUCAAGAUGAUGGGCCUUAUCCUAUCGUUGCCAUCGCCUAUUCUGAUAAAUUUAGAGAUAGCUAUGAUUAUUUUCGUGCUGUCCUCAAGUCUGGAGAGAAAUCAGAGCGUGCUCUAGCUUUGACGGCCACUUGUUUAUCAUUGAAUCCAGCGAACUACACUGUCUGGCAAUAUCGUCGUGAUAUUUUGAAAGAACUGAACAAAGACUUGUAUGAAGAAUUAGCCUACAUCGAUUCAAUAAUUGGAGACAACACAAAAAACUAUCAAAUAUGGCAUCAUAGGAAAGCCAUUGUUGAAUUGCUGAAAGAUCCAAGCAAGGAGCUGGAGUUCACUGCUCGGAUGUUGGAGAAAGAUUCCAAGAAUUAUCACACAUGGCAGUAUCGUCAAUGGUGUAUUAAAACCUUCAAUCUUUUCGAUUCAGAGCUUGAAUACGUUGAACAGCUGCUGACUGAAGAUAUCAGAAAUAAUUCCGCCUGGAAUCAGCGUUAUUUUGUGCUGAGUAACACAACUAAGUUCGAGCCAGAAGUUAUUGAUAGAGAAGUAGACUUUGCGUUAGGGAAGAUAUCGAUUGUCAAAGGCAACGAGAGUGCUUGGAAUUAUUUAAGAGGGAUUUUAAUGCACGACAAAAAUGGUGGUCUAGCUUUCAAUGAAAAAGUCUUGAAUAAAUGUGAAGAAUUAUAUACGAAAGAUUGUCGUGUUAAUCAUCUUCUGGCUUGUAUUAUUGACAUUUGUGAUGAACGGCAUGAGAAGGCUCCGAAUCAUCCAUUAUAUAAUAUAGAUAAUGCAUUGAUGUUGUGCAAUGAAUUGGGAGAAAAAUACGAUAAAAUAAGGAAAAAGUACUGGGAUUAUGUAGCAUCACAGUUAUCAGAGAAACUGAGACAAAUGUCUAAGUAAUUUCUUUUAUUUUCCAGUGUUAAACAAAUGUUUAAAUAAAUGAAUCAAAGUGUCUAGUUCAUCAUUGUAAUUGCAGACAAGGCAGUGACAAAAAGGUCCAUGGUGUGUAACGAGGACGUACCGAGUGUCAGAAAGCCGUGUCCAAUGCUGCCAUUGAUGUUGAAAUGUCAGGAUCUGAUCUGCACGCUUCCAGAAAUUCUGAUAACGUUACGACACCAUCUUUAUUCCCAUCCAUUUUCUGAACCAAUAAAACACAUUUGAUUGGAGUCAAUAUUUUAUAUUUAAUUUAUUGUUAUUACGUAGUGCUUUUGUUGUUAUGCAAUUAUCGGAUGUCGGGAGAAAUUUAGAGAGAGAGUUUAUUAAUAAAAAGUAUGCAGAAUGGUGAUAACUUGACGAAAGGUGGAAAUUAAAUUUUUGAAUAUUAAAGCUGUUGGAUUGAAUUCGGAUUUGGAAGAAGAAAAAUAUUAUUUUUCCAUGAAUUAUUUUGAAGAAAAUGUAUAUCUUUGAAGUAUUGAGAUCUUGAUCAAAGAAGAUGAAAUAUUUCUCCAGAGGCUUGAAUGAAACUAACAACCUAAGAGAGCUGUUAAGUUGAUGUCAUUACACUACAAUUUCUACGAAAAAUAGAAAAGCAAACGUCUCAAUACUCUUAAGGCAGUCAACAAUGAAGGAUCAAAAAGUAUGUGGAAACUGUUGAUGUGGGAAAUUGCUCGUAGUCACGUAAAAGAAUAAAAGUACCGGAGGGGCAUUUGUUGAAGAGGAAUACAAGAGCUGAGUACACGGAAAAAGGGGGGAGUGAUGGGUCGGAAGCGUUGAGAUAAUGAUAAGAAAAAACAAUGACAGUUGACAGAUAUAUUUGUAUCUACGCUUCUAGUGGUUAAAUUUCCAUGGUCCAUUAGGGGAAUGUGUCGUUGAAGAAAAAAAAAUUGAGAUAAAGAAUAAAGAGCUUGGGUAUUAUUAUGCAA